GACGAACCGUGCGAACGUUGUUCGGAAUCACUGGGCUUAAAGGGCGCGUAGGCGGACCACCCAGUCCGGGGUGAAAUCUUUCGGCUCAACCGGAAAAGGGCCUUGGAUACUGGUGGUCUGGAGGAAGGUAGGGGCAUGCGGAACUCCGGUGGAGCGGUGAAAUGCGUUGAUAUCGGAAGGAACGCCGGUGGCGAAAGCGGCGUGCUGGACCUUUUCUGACGCUGAUGGCGCGAAAGCCAGGGGAGCGAACGGG
rnacentral:rRNA from 1 species